AUGAGAGCCCUUUUCUGGAAUGUUUGUGGUUUUGGUGCUAGGGGGCGUCGGGACCAGAUUCAUGACCUGGUGUGUGGGGAGCACAUUGACAUUUUAGGUUUGGUCAAAACUUUCAAGGAAUCCUUUUCUCCCUCUGAAUCGUCUGCGAUUGCUGGGAUUGGUAGAUAUGACUGGCACUUUCUUCCUGCUUCGGGUCAUUCUGGAGGUAUCCUGAUUGGCUCCAAGCGGGACAUCUUUGACUUCAUUACUUUUGACCAUGGUAUUUUUUGGGCUAGCUGCGUAGUUCAUCAUCGCCAACUAAAUAUGAUGUGGGAAUUCAUGGUAGUGUACGGGCCCGCGGAUCAUUCGCUUGCCCCUCUUUUUUUGGAUGAAAUCUCGAGCAAGAUUGAGGCAUGCAAUAUACCUCUUCUUAUAUUGGGAGACUUUAACCCGAUU
rnacentral:rRNA from 1 species